rnacentral:rRNA from 1 species
GAAUGGCUCAUUAUAUAAGUUAUCGUUUAUUUGAUAGCACAUUACUACAUGGAUAACUGUGGUAAUUCUAGAGCUAAUACAUGCUAAAAAUCCCGACUUCGGAAGGGAUGUAUUUAUUAGAUUAAAAGCCAACGCCCUUCGGGGCUUCGUGGUGAUUCAUGAUAACUUUUCGAAUCGCAUGGCCUUGCGCCGGCGAUGGUUCAUUCAAAUUUCUUCCCUAUCAACUUUCGAUGCGAAGGUCUUGUCUUCGCAUGGUUGCAACGGGUAACGGAGGGUUAGGGCUCGACCCCGGAGAAGGAGCCUGAGAAACGGCUACUACAUCCAAGGAAGGCAGCAGGCGCGCAAAUUACCCAAUCCCGACACGGGGAGGUAGUGACAAUAAAUACUGAUACAGGGCUCUUUUGGGUCUUGUAAUCGGAAUGAGUACAAUUUAAAUCCCUUAACGAGGAACAAUUGGAGGGCAAGUCUGGUGCCAGCAGCCGCGGUAAUUCCAGCUCCAAUAGCGUAUAUUAAAGUUGUUGUGGUUAAAAAGCUCGUAGUUGAACCUUGGGCCUGGCUGGCCGGUCCCCCUCACCGGGUGCACUGAUCCAGCCGGGCCUUUCCCUCUGUGGAACCCCAUGGCCUUCACUGGCCGUGGCGGGGAAACAGGACUUUUACUUUGAAAAAAUUAGAGUGCUCCAGGCAGGCCUAUGCUCGAAUACAUUAGCAUGGAAUAAUAGAAUAGGACGUGUGGUUCUAUUUUGUUGGUUUCUAGGACCGCCGUAAUGAUUAAUAGGGACAGUCGGGGGCAUCAGUAUUCAAUUGUCAGAGGUGAAAUUCUUGGAUCUAUUGAAGACUAACUACUGCGAAAGCAUUUGCCAAGGAUGUUUUCAUUGAUAAGGAACGAAAGUUAGGGGAUCGAAGACGAUCAGAUACCGUCGUAGUCUUAACUAUAAACUAUGCCGACUAGGGAUCGGACGAUGUUAUUUCUUGACGCGUUCGGCACCUUUCGAGAAAUCAAAGUGCUUGGGCU